CCUUAUGUGCCCCCACAGCCCUGUUAGGGAUAGGAGGAGAACCUCGCCCUAACAUGAGCAAAGUCGAAGGCCCGGUUGCUCUUAAGACCGGAUGGGGGGAGAGGCCCUACAACGCCCUUAUGUGCCCCCACAGCCCUGUUAGGGACAGGAGGAGGACCUCGCCCUAACAUGAGCAAAGUCGAAGGCCCGAUUACUCUUAGACCGGAUGGGAGGAGAGGCCCUGCGAUGCCCAUAUGUGCCCCCA
rnacentral:lncRNA from 1 species